rnacentral:rRNA from 1 species
GGAUGCGAUCAUACCAGCACUAAAGCACAGGAUCCCAUCAGAACUCCGAAGUUUAGCGUGCUUGGGCGAGGGUAGUACUAGGAUGGGUGACCUCCUGGGAAGUCCUCGUGUUGCAUUCC